GAACAAGCAAGGCAAUGGCAGAUGAAAUUAAAUGUUGACAAAUGCAAGUUAAUGUGCAUUGGAAGGCAUAAUGUGACCUACUCAUACACAUUGCUGCAUUUUAAAUUAACUGUAACCACUCAGGGAAAAGACCUAGAGGUUAUUGUGAACAGCUCAAUAAAAACAUCUGUUAAAUGAACAGAAGCAGUCAGAAAAGCAAACAAAACAUUGGGCCGUACAAGGGAGAUUUUAUAUUAUCAUUUAUAUUAUGAUAAUACAUCAGGACACUGAAAACUGCUUUCUGUUGUGCCAGGCUCUGUGUGAGCAGAGAGUGAAAAGGCAUCCGAGUGUGACCAGACACCAAUGGAUAAGGAGAUUCCUGGAGCAGAGGUUUGCCUUCAAGCAAGGAGAACUGUGUGAUGUGCAAGACUUCUGGCUCUGCAAGCAGCUCAACAAGCCGAAGAGUUGAUCUUCCUCUGAAUUGGAAAGAAUUGCACAUUAAAAAGUUUGAAACCGACGGCUGAUCUCAAACUGAGACCUUUCGUUUGACCCAAAGCAGCAGUAGGGAGAUGGGGAUGGCGAGCCUUGCCUCUUUUGUGAUGCAGAGAGAAAGUGGAGAAACCAGCGAGCGCAUCCAUGUACAAGUGCGGGUGACUUCAGCCAGAAGUGGCGGAGGGGUUUAACUCACCAUAUUGAAGUCAGCAGGAUGGAGCUGGGCUGACAGACGGAGCAAGGACGACGUCCUGAGCUUUGGCUUGGCUGCUGUAUGGGGAAUAAUUCUUGUGGGCCCCUUUCUGCUUGUGUGAGCGUUUUCGGAGCAUCUUCAGAAGCACCAGCCCUCUCCUCUGUCGUAUUAUUUUUGUUUGUAAAUCCUGGCUGAAGAAGGAUCUCGGCUCAAACAUAAAGCUCCAUCUGACCUGAGCAGCACGGGGCAAAUCUGGGAUCAAGCCUGUGAAGAAAACGGGUUUAUUAGCCUUAUAAAUUGAAUCUGGAGUUCUUGGUGCAAAUAACCUAGUACCCUCCCAAGUGACUCUGCUUUAAUGAGAAUUGUCAAAGCUGCAGGUCUCACAGAUGUGAUAAAGAUUGGACAACUCUAGGGGUGGACAGCCAGGUUCCAGUGUGCUUCUGCCCAGCCUAGAAGAGCUCCCUCAGCAACACCAGGGCUUCUCUCCCUACGGAUGGAGGGAAGUUCCCAACAUAUUCUCACAUUCCUCCAGUUAAAAACUUCCCACCCACAGACAUCCCAGAGCAUCCCUUUGGAGAACGAAACACAAAGGGAAUCCAAGAUGAUGCUUGGCUUCCUGCUGCUGAGACAAAUAGUGAGGCUGUUAAACUCUACCAUUGUCCCACGUCCUUUAGAGUGGAAAGAGUUUGUACUCCUUGCUCUAAGAUUUACGCAGCAGUGCUCUCCAACUCCAGGCAGCUGGGAAGUCCCCAUCUGAAACCUCUCCACAAGCUGAUGGGAAGCAGCAAGACCCACACUGCCUUCAUCAUUGUCAUCCCCAUCAAUGGAGCCAACGGGUCAGAAAACUCCCAUCCGUUACACCUAUGGCAUGCCAUCAGCUCGCAGGUGAUGAGGAAAAGCAGAUGCAGUUUUUGGUGAGCCAGUUGUUCUCCCGUUUUGCACAUCCCAAAAUGAGCUUCAAGAUUCCAAGCAUGCUUCACGCUGUAGGGUUCUGUCCACAGGGUCUGGGCUGGAUGUGACCUUAGGAGUGAAUGCAGUGUGGGGAACAGAAAAAUUCAGCAAAAAAAGAGCAAAUGUGUUAACGGAGGGCAAAAAAAAAACACACAUCAUGUAGUUCCCUCUAUUCUUAGUUUUAUGCAUUCGGCCGGUUCUGGAGUGACUGAAAACCUGAGAAUUUGAAAGGAAUGUUGUGAUUUCAGCCGAGUUCAAUAUUCUCUUCAAUAUUUUGAAAAGUGGAAGUCUUAGGCAGCUGAACAGAACUUUGCCCAUUGACAAUUCCUGCUUAGAGAAUAAACUUAGAAUAAAUAAAGGCAUCAUAGUGGGAAUUGGCUGGAGUAAACCAUUCUGUGCUGCAGUAAAAUUCAAUUCUAGGUGGUUUCAGUUGCGAUCUCCAAUACAAACCCUGAACGUUACUGUCCUUCAAAUGCUUCUUUAUUGGAAAGCAGUCCCAGUGUCCCAGAAAGCCCCCAAAGGCUUUCUUUUGCCAUAUGCCUGCACUCAGCUGCAAGUUGUUCAUGCUGCGCUCAUGAGGGUGGGCAUCCACCUCACUUCAGCCUUUCAGACCCGAAGUAUCAAGCCUAAACCUACUGCCACGGUUCCCUUGUUUUUCAGAGGGAGGUUGGAACUGCAGCCUCCUACAGCUCUGCAGGCAGGGUGCUUGCUUCCAGCUGACCACGCUCAGGGAGAUGUACUGGGCUACUCGGUGAUUCCUAUUCCUCCUCCUGUUACGUUUUUCUUCCCUACCUGCCUUAACAACACUCUGUUUACGCUAUCUCAGGCCAAGGAUCAAAGUGCUAUUCCCCUCUGCCAAGAGCGAUUUAGCAGUGCCUUCCUUGGACUUGCUUUGUUAUAACUUUUGCAUUGCCCGGGUGCUGAGUUAUUCAUUAUGCGCAGGCUGCAGAGACAAUUGUAUGCGUUCCUCUUCCUGUCUGUGCAAUAUUUUGACAUUUCCCUGUGUCUAUUGGAAUUCAGUCCUGUCUUUAAAUAAAUAUCUUGCUUUCCCAUGGGAAGAGCUCCAGGAGCUCCU
ensembl:lncRNA